AACUCGGUGUUUCUCAACACCACCACAUUUGGUAUUGACUUGGGUGU
rfam:Chlamydomonas reinhardtii strain CC-503 cw92 mt+ CHLREscaffold_3 genomic scaffold, whole genome shotgun sequence.